GACGAACGCUGGCGGCGUGCCUAACGCAUGCAAGUCGAGCGAAGGCAUGAGUGUAGCAAUACACUUAUGUACUUAGCGGCGGACGGGUGAGUAACACGUGGAUAAUCUGCCCUGGGGACCGGGACAACUCUUGGAAACGGGAGCUAAUACCGGAUGUGACCACGAUGCUUGAGGGCAUUGGGGUAAAAGGGCGGCCUGCAAGGGCUGUUGCUUCGGGAUGAGUUCACGACCCAUCAGGUAGUU
rnacentral:rRNA from 1 species